GUGCUUGCUUCGGCAGCACAUAUACUAAAAUCGGAACAAUACAGAGAAGAUUAGCAUGGCCCCUGCGCAAGGAUGAUGACAUGCAAAUUUGUGAAGCGUUCCAUUUUUUU
rnacentral:snRNA from 1 species